rnacentral:rRNA from 1 species
CCUACGGGAGGCAGCAGUGAGGAAUAUUGGUCAAUGGGCGCGAGCCUGAACCAGCCAAGUAGCGUGAAGGAUGACUGCCCUACGGGUUGUAAACUUCUUUUAUAAAGGAAUAAAGUGAGGCACGUGUGCCGUUUUGUAAGUACUUUAUGAAUAAGGAUCGGCUAACUCCGUGCCAGCAGCCGCGGUAAUACGGAGGAUCCGAGCGUUAUCCGGAUUUAUUGGGUUUAAAGGGAGCGUAGAUGGGUUGAUAAGUCAGUGGUGAAAGUUUGCGGCUCAACCGUAAAAUUGCAAUUGAUACUGGCAGUCUUGAGAAUAGUUGCGGUAGGCGGAAUUCGUGGUGUAGCGGUGAAAUGCUUAGAUAUCACGAAGAACACCGAUUGCGAAGGCAGCUUACUAAACUGCCACUGACAUUGAGGCUCGAAAGUGUGGGUAGCAAACAGGAUUAGAUACCCGGGUAGUC